rnacentral:lncRNA from 10 species
AACCACAGCAACCAAUAUGUGCCAAGCCUGACUACACGUACCUUCUCAUUCCACCCUCCUGGCAGCCUCACAUCUGCUUUACAGGUGGGGAACUGAGGCUCUAAGAGACUAAGAAAAUUACCCAAGGCCACUGCAGCUAGCCAGGGGCAGGUAUGGGAGUCAGAGCUGGGUGCAGCUGACUACAAACCCUGUGCUCAGGAUGACACCCUCUAGGAGCCUCGACCUCUCUCCCAGUUCUCUUCUCCCUCCAC